ensembl:snoRNA SNORD62 Small nucleolar RNA SNORD62
UCUCGGUGAUGGAAUUCCAAUAGAUCCUUCUGACCCUGCACUGUGGACUCAAUCGCAGGGGGGUGACGAGGACAGAGACUGAGAGA